rnacentral:rRNA from 1 species
AUUGAACGCUGGCGGUAUGCCUUACACAUGCAAGUCGAACGGUAGAGGGGCAACCCUUGAGAGUGGCGAACGGGUGAGUAAUACAUCGGAACGUGCCCAGUCGUGGGGGAUAACGUAGCGAAAGCUACGCUAAUACCGCAUAUGACCUGAGGGUGAAAGCGGGGGAUCGCAAGACCUCGCGCGAUUGGAGCGGCCGAUGGCAGAUUAGGUAGUUGGUGGGGUAAAGGCCUACCAAGCCUGCGAUCUGUAGCUGGUCUGAGAGGACGACCAGCCACACUGGGACUGAGAAACGGCCCAGACUCCUACGGGAGGCAGCAGUGGGGAAUUUUGGACAAUGGGCGAAAGCCUGAUUCAGCCAUACCGCGUGCGGGAAGAAGGCCUUCGGGUUGUAAACCGCUUUUGUCAGGGAAGAAAUCUUCUGGGUUAAUACCUCGGGAGGAUGACGGUACCUGAAGAAUAAGCACCGGCUAACUACGUGCCAGCCGCCGCCGUAAAAC